rnacentral:rRNA from 1 species
UAAAUUGAGAGUUUGAUCCUGGCUCAGGACGAACGCUGGCGGCGUGCCUAAUACAUGCAAGUCGAACGAAGCUUUCUUUCAC